GGGCCUCUAGCUCAGUUGGUUAGAGCGCACCCCUGAUAAGGGUGAGGUGGUUGGUUCGAUUCCAACGAGGCCCACCA
rnacentral:tRNA from 1 species